GCGAAGCUGCCCGGCUCGUCAGGUUGCACUACUCCCGGGGGCUAUAAUCUUAGAAAGGGGCCUGUCCCUGUUGUGGCUGUGGCUGCAGUAUCAUGGGUCCCACUUUGUGCUCGCGGCCUUAGUGGAGGUUGCGCUUUGCCAACGGCCCAAGGUGGCUUCGCC
rfam:Haematospirillum jordaniae strain H5569, complete genome.